rnacentral:rRNA from 1 species
UACGUAGGGGGCAAGCGUUGUCCGGAUUCAUUGGGCGUAAAGAGCUCGUAGGCGGCUUGGCAAGUCGGGUGUGAAAACUCCAGGCUCAACCUGGAGACGCCACCCGAUACUGCCAUGGCUAGAGUCCGGUAGGGGACCACGGAAUUCCUGGUGUAGCGGUGAAAUGCGCAGAUAUCGGGAGGAACACCAGUGGCGAAGGCGACUACCUGGCCUGUUCGUUGACGCUGAGGCGCGAAAGCUAGGGGAGCAAACGGGG